rnacentral:lncRNA from 1 species
CGACCAUAUAUAAGACACUUACACAUCACAUUACAUGUUAUUUGGAUACAUAUCCACAAAAAGCGAAAAUAAACCUCAAUCAAACCUCACUCAAUAUAUUAAGGGAAAAUUCCCAUCUACCCUAAUUUUAAACAAUUUUUUCUCACUAACAAAAUAAGAAUCUAAAAUUCCCGUCAACCCUAAGACCUUUUAGACAACUUUCCCACUAACAAAAUUUUUAACUUUUUCUUGUUUUUUUUUUCUAGACCAUAUUACCCUUUAUAUUAUCCUCUCUUCUAUUUCUUUCCUCCAUACCUCUUCUUUCUCUCUCGUCUGUCCCAUGCCUCUCUCUCUCUAGAUACCCAGAAAAAUGUAGAGAGAGAAAGCUACACCAAUCAAUCAACCAUGGUGUCCUCCUCUCAAAACACCAAUAAAAACCCUCCAUUCCUACCUCGCCGCAAAGCUCACCAACCUCACAAUUCCACCUUCCUCCUCCUCCUCAUCUCCCCCUCAAGACUUCGACUUCAACGACAUCUUCGACCCCCCAAUCGCCUCCAGCGACGUCGCACCGCCGCCGUUGCUUGUCAUCGAUCCACAACUGCUCCCACUCCUUCGUCGGCCCCUCCCAGCGCUUCACCCCACCUCCUCCUCCUUCCUCCCCCCCCUUCGCCGCCAAAUUUGACUCUGAUGAAGACAAAAACGACGCCGGUUUAGAUCUGGCCUGUAUGAAGCGGCUCACUUGUGCUUGCUUUGCUCAGAGCUAUUUUGGCCGGGGAUGGUUGCCCCGGUAGAUCUCAGAAGAUAAAGCUCGUAGAUCUUUUCAGAGAUGAACCGGAGCUACUCGGUAGUGGUAGUGUGGUUCGGGAUUCGGAGGUAAUUCAUUGUACCAGAGUAGAGAUUUGAUUUGGCUUAUCGGAUUAGAAAUUCGGCGAUAAAUUCUGAAAUUGAGUUUUGGAUGAAACGAUUGUAUAUAGCAUUGUUUAUGCUUUUUGUUGAUUCCUUAUGUUUAUAAAAGGAUUUUGAUGGUCAGCACUAUAUAUAUAUGGUUAUUGUUGAAGCACUUGAUCGAACUUAUGGCCAAAAUGUAGUAGUUAUUGUUUAAAAGAACCUAUUUGGAUGUAGUAUGCGAAGGAAAACUAUGUAACUUUGUUAUGAUGAUGAUGGUGAGAUUAGGUGAUAUUAGGUUGCAAUCGCUCGAGUCUCCUGUCUUAGUAGACCCUCCUACUGCCCCUAUUAGACCCUUCUACUGUCCCAAGUAGACCCCCAUACUACCCCUAGUAGACUCGUAGAAAGACCUCCUACUGUCCCCAAUAGACCCCCUACAGCCCUAAUAGAUCCCUGGACAGACCUCCUACUGCCCUCAGUAGACCCUCUACUGCCUCUAGUAGCCCCCUCUAUUGCCCUCAGUAGACUCCUGGACAGACCUCCUAUUGUCCCUAGUAGACCCCCUACUGCCCCAGUAGGACCCCCUUACUGCCCCAGUAGAUCUCUAGACAUACCUCCUACUGCCCUCAGUAGACCCCCUUACUGCCCCCAGUAGACCCCUGGACAGACCUCCUACUGCCCUCAGUAGACUCUUCUACUGCCCCUAGUAGAUCCCCUAUCUUUUGUUGGAGCCAGUCAACGGUGGCCGGAGCCCGGUCAACCGUUGUCGGAGUCCGAUCAACGGCCCCGGAGCUUGCGUUCAACGUCAUUGGUCGUGAGAAUCCAGUUAUAGAAACUUUAUUUUAUAAUAAACUCUUAUCAUGGUUUAUUAUAGUUUAUUUAAUUCAUUAAAUGUAUAAUUGUUUUUCUGUUUUUUAAGUUAGCUAUUGGGAAUUUUAAAAUCUUAUUUUAUUAGUGAGAAUAAAAUUUU